AUUAGAAAAAAAGAUUAAAACAAAAAAAAUACAGUUUCAAGUGAAAAAUAGUUUAAAAUGACUUUCCUGAAAAUUUUGAUAUUUUGAGAUAUUCUUUAUUGGUUCUCAGCCCACGAAUUCGGUUAAUGGAAAAACCAGCAAUUCCAGCGUAUUGCGAUGAACGCAUCAUGAAUUUAUCAGAUAAUAACUUUAAUUGGCUUAAUUUAAUGUAACUGGUCCCGAAAAAAUAGAUGAGUGAUUUUUAUUUAUGCCAAAUUUUACAGUAUUCUUCCUUACUUCUUUUGCCAACAUUAUAAAAUAUUUAUGAGAAUCCUUCUUUGCAUUUUCAAUCUUUAGCUAUAAAAGUAUAAUAUAUUUUAAUGAACUUUUAACUACUAAAUAGCUUGUAAAUUUUCAAUUUGAUAAAUUUUGUCAACAUUUGAACUUUAAAAGUUUAGAUAUACAAAAACGUCGUACCUAUGGAUCUCAUUAUUUCUCAACUGUUAUUAUAUAACUACUUAUGAGGAACCUUGUCUUAAAUUUUCAUAGCAUGGAUAUAUAAAGACAUUUUUGAAUGUUUAAAAUCAUUAAAAAUAAUUCAUUAGAAAAAAGAAUUUAAAAAAAAGAUAAGACAGUUUCAUGUGGAAAAUAGUUUAAAAUGGCUUUCCUGAAAAUGUUUAUACUUUGAGAUAUUCUCUUUUGAUUCUGAGCCCACGAAUUUGGUUAGUUGAAAAACCAACAAUAUCAGCAUAUUGCGAUGAAAACAUCAUGAUUUAUUUGAAACAUCAGAUAAUAACUUUUACUGGCUUAAUAUAAUGUAACUGGACACGGAAAAAUAGAUGAUCGAUUUUUUAUUUAUGCCGAAUUUUACCGUAUUUUUUCUUAUAUUUUUGCCAACAUAGUUUACCUGCUAAAGAAAAUAGUAGUAGACACAUAGACGUAUUUUAAUAUUAGGUGUCAUACUUCAAUUUCUCUCAGCUUGGCGGAUCAUAUGAAUUCCUUGCAAUGGGCUGAAGUCAGGAAUUAUUACAAUAAUUUAAGUACGUAUUAUAUUUUUAUAAUUUAGGUGUUUGGAAAAAUGUUAGUAAUUGGGAGAAUACUUGUUCAAACUUCACAUAUUUCAGUGGUUUUAUACAAAGUACAUUCG